rnacentral:lncRNA from 1 species
UUAGAUGGUUCUGAUGUGGCUGAUCUACAGGUUAUACAAUGAAUUUUCCCUCUCUGUCAGGGUUGGCUGAUCCGUCUGAACCACAGGAGAGGAUGAGCACAUGACUGUGAACGGAUGAGAAAAAAGGUGGCAAAGGAGUGAUUAUGUGUCUUCUCAAGGAUGUUGACAUUUGGAACCUGAUUUCCCCCUUCCACACAUUUCUUCCCCAGGAGCAUGCAUUUCCCAAGCAAUUUCCCAAAAUAUUGCUUAUUAACCAUGGGGUAAGUACUCAACACCCUCCAAAGCAGAGUUCUUCAGUAAAAAGCUGUAUUUUCAAAUGUGGGAGGCCCCAACAAGGCGUUUGAUUCAUUUCUGCUGGAAAAUAGAAUGGAUAGAAUGGAGAAAUCUUUGACUAUUUGGAAUAGAAAAGAACAGAUCUGAGUGAGACCUUGUCCUGCAUGCCCCAGAGGCAAACCAUACAGGCUAGUUCAUACCAAGGGACAGCAAGGGCAGAAGGAAGCAGGGCAUGGCCCUAUGUCUUUGAUAGGGCACAGUAAGCCUGCCCAGUAGCAAAACACAGCCC